rnacentral:rRNA from 1 species
UCGGGGAGGUAGUGACGAAAAAUAACAAUACGGGACUCAUCCGAGGCCCCGUAAUUGGAAUGACUACAAUUUAAAUCCUUUAAGAAGGAUCCAUUGGAGGGCAAGUCUGGUGCCAGCAGCCGCGGUAAUUCCAGCUCCAAUAGCGUAUAUUAAAGCUGCUGCAGUUAAAAAGCUCGUAGUUGGAUCUCAGUUACGGGCAGGUGGUUCACUUUACAGUGCUAACUACCUGAACCGAACCUAUUGCUGGAUCUCUUGGGUGCCCUUCACUGGGUGCCCCUUGAGACCAGACGUUUUACUUUGAGAAAAUUAGAGUGCUCAAAGCAGGCGAAUGCCUGAAUAGUUGUGCAUGGAAUAAUGAAACAUGGCCUUGGCAUCAUUUUGUUGGUUCACGAUGCUCGAGGUAAUGGUUGAAAGGGACUGACGGGGGCAUUCGUAUUGCGACGUUAGAGGUGAAAUUCUUAGAUCGUCGCAAGACGGACUACUGCGAAAGCAUUUGCCAAGAAUGUCUUCAUUAAUCAAGAACGAAAGUCAGAGGUUCGAAGGCGAUCAGAUACCGCCCUAGUUCUGACCUUAAACGAUGCUAACCGGCGAUCCAGCGGGGGUAUUUAAAAUGACCUGCUGGGCAGCUUCCGGGAAACCAAAGUAUUUGGGUUCCGGGGGAAGUAUGGUUGCAAAGCUGGAACUUAAAGGAAUUGACGGAAGGGCACCACCAGGAGUGGAGCCUGUGGCUUAAUUUGACUCAACACGGGAAACCUCACCAGGCCCAGACACUAGAAGGAUUGACAGAUUGAGAGCUCUUUCUUGAUUUGGUGGAUGGUGGUGCAUGGCCGUUCUUAGUUGGUGGAGUGAUUUGUCUGGUUAAUUCCGAUAACGAACGAGACUUUAGCCUACUAAAUAGGUAGCGGAUACUCAAAAGAGUCCGCAUUGUCUUCUU